GACGAACGCUGGCGGCGUGCUUAACACAUGCAAGUCGAACGGAAAGGCCCUGCUUGCAGGGUACUCGAGUGGCGAACGGGUGAGUAACACGUGGGUGAUCUGCCCUGCACUUCGGGAUAAGCUUGGGAAACUGGGUCUAAUACCGGAUAGGAGCCAUCUUUAGUGUGGUGGUUGGAAAGUUUUUUCGGUGUAGGAUGAGCUCGCGGCCUAUCAGCUUGUUGGUGGGGUAAUGGCCUACCAAGGCGGCGACGGGUAGCCGGCCUGAGAGGGUGUACGGCCACAUUGGGACUCAGAUACGGCCCAGACUCCUACGGGAGGCAGCAGUGGGGAAUAUUGCACAAUGGGCGCAAGCCUGAUGCAGCGACGCCGCGUGGGGGAUGAAGGCCUUCGGGUUGUAAACUCCUUUCGCUAGGGACGAAGCUUUGUUGUGACGGUACCUAGAUAAGAAGCACCGGCUAACUACGUG
rnacentral:rRNA from 1 species